rnacentral:misc_RNA from 1 species
GAUGAAGAACGUAGUGAAAUGCGAUAAUUAAUGUGAAUUGCAGAAUUCAGUGAAUCAUCGAGUCUUUGAACGCACAUUGCGCCCCCUGGUAUUCCGGGGGGCAUGCCUGUCCGAGCGUCAUUGCUGCCCUCAAGCACGGCUUGUGUGUUGGGCUUCCGUCCCUGGCAACGGGGACGGGCCCAAAAGGCAGUGGCGGCACCAUGUCUGGUCCUCGAGCGUAUGGGGCUUUGUCACCCGCUCCCGCAGGUCCAGCUGGCAGCUAGCCUCGCAACCAAUCUUUUUAACCAGGUUGACCUCGGAUCAGGUAGGGAUACCCGCUGAACUUAAGCAUAUCAAUAAGCGGAGGA